rnacentral:rRNA from 1 species
GUCUACGGCCAUGCCACCCUGAACAAGCCGGAUCCCAUCUGAUCUCGGAAGCUAAGCAAGGUCGGGCCUGGUUACUACUUGGAUGAGAGACCACCUAGGAAGACCAGGUACUGCAGGCA